AUGAUCGGUCUGGGGUUCUGUUUUGUUCUGGCGGCUCUCUCAGGUGUUAGUUCCCAGGUCCAGCUGACCCAGUCUGGGGCAGAAAUCAAGAAGCCCGGAGAGUCCGUGAAGCUGACAUGUAAAACCUCCGGCUACACUUUUACGAGCUAUCACAUUAACUGGGCACGGCAGGCUCCCGGGAAGGGCCUGGAGUGGGUCGGACGGAUCAAUCCAAAUAGCGGUGGCACUGACUAUGCCUCGGCCUUCCAGGGGCGAGUCACCAUCACCAGGGACAACUCCAUAACCACGGCCUGGCUGCAGCUGGGCAGCCUGCGAGCCGAUGACACCGCCACGUAUUACUGCGCUCGGGACACAGUGACACAAACCGCAGCUACAGCCCUUCAAAAACCCCAGUGA